CACUUGGGAGACCCACGUGCUUUUGGCAUGUGUGUUAGUCAGAGAUAUUCUACGGUUUCUUUCAGUGACGUGUUAGAAUCUUUUCCGUUUCCUUUUUUGGAGGGUGUUUGAGCACCCAGGCGUGGAUAUUGCUGUUUUCACAUUUGGACGGCAACAUGCAUACGCAUUUUCCCCAUGUCUCCUGCUCCUUGCCGCUCGUGGCAACAAGCUCUGACAGGCCCAGAACGAAAGCGAAAAUUGCAGCACACAGUUUCCAGUCUCAUCUUUACGGCCAACUUCCCAGAGGCACUGGUGUGUCCCUGUGUGAUCAUUCCUGUUUCCAGCAAUCUACUUCUGAGGGUCCUCAUACCACUGUAGUGCAUAUUUCCCGUGUCUUGGGAAGUGGAGGACAAGAAAACAACAACAAACACUCAGAUGUGGGCAGUUCUCAUCCUUGUUCAACACCCUCCAGAGGCUCCUGAAGAUACGAGGACUUUCAUGAGCUGGUCUUGGCCUGCUUCCUUAGCAGCCACCCCAUUGCUCUGGCCGCCCCAGAUCCUCUAGCAACGUAGAUUUGUGACUCUCCGUGCACAUCCCAACGCGCAUUGUUUUCAUCACUUCCUGUCGUCCCGAUGCUGGGGGAGGGAUUCUGCCCACUGGUUCUGUCAGCAGGAUAGAUAGCUGCUAGGGUAGGAGGAAGGGGAGGGGUGGAGAGGGGAGUUUAUCUCACUCCUGAACAAAGAAGUCAGCAGUCAAUAAAAUCACCAGAUAGUCUCAUAAAUCCUGGGAAAAACUACAACAAUGUAAAAGGGGGACUUUGAAAUCUAGUCUGUUGCCCAAGAUAUCCAGUGGGGGAAAGUAUAAAACCCUUGAACCGCCGCCGACAAGCUGAGGUGCCUGCUUGUGCUUUAUGCCAACUGUAUUCUUAAUAAAUUCAGUUGCUUUGCUUCCUUA